CACUCCUACGGGAGGCAGCAGUGGGGAAUUUUGGACAAUGGGCGAAAGCCUGAUCCAGCAAUGCCGCGUGCAGGAUGAAGGCCUUCGGGUUGUAAACUGCUUUUGUACGGAACGAAAAAGCUCCUUCUAAUACAGGGGGCCCAUGACGGUACCGUAAGAAUAAGCACCGGCUAACUACGUGCCAGCAGCCGCGGUAAUACGUAGGGUGCGAGCGUUAAUCGGAAUUACUGGGCGUAAAGCGUGCGCAGGCGGUUAUGUAAGACAGAUGUGAAAUCCCCGGGCUCAACCUGGGAACUGCAUUUGUGACUGCAUGGCUAGAGUACGGUAGAGGGGGAUGGAAUUCCGCGUGUAGCAGUGAAAUGCGUAGAUAUGCGGAGGAACACCGAUGGCGAAGGCAAUCCCCUGGACCUGUACUGACGCUCAUGCACGAGAGCGUGGGGAGCAAACAGGAUUAGAAACCCCUGUAGUCCC
rnacentral:rRNA from 1 species